UACGUAGGGGGCAAGCAUUAUCCGGAAUUACUGGGUGUAAAGGGUGAGUAGGCGGCAUGGUAAGCCAGAUGUGAAAGCCUUGGGCUUAACCCGAGGAUUGCAUUUGGAACUAUCAAGCUAGAGUACAGGAGAGGAAAGCGGAAUUCCUAGUGUAGCGGUGAAAUGCGUAGAUAUUAGGAAGAACACCAGUGGCGAAGGCGGCUUUCUGGACUGAAACUGACGCUGAGGCACGAAAGCGUGGGGAGCGAACAGG
rnacentral:rRNA from 1 species